AAAACCCUUUUUCUAUUAACUUAAAACCUCUCUCCACUUAUCCCCUUUUCUGUUGAUUCCGAUUUUCCGCAUUGCAAUUGCAUCAAAUCUUCUGCUUUUCUCAGUACAAUCGUCCCCUAAAAUCCCAACUAGAAGCGCCAAUCGAUUCUACGCAAUUUGAUGCGCGAUUGGUGAUUUAUAUGGCCUACGGCGAUGCCCUGAAUUUGUUGUUGGCGGCUGGAGUUUGGUGUGCUGCGUACGUGGCGGUAGCAGUUCUUGCUUCUUGUCGAAUCUUUUACCACGUCUGCGGCGGCUCGCUUUGAUAGCUUUGCGGCGGAGCAGAGGUUUCUAGCCCAGGAGCCACUGCAAUGGUGAUUCUCAAUUCACUGCUCUCAUGACUAAUCUACUGAUCCCAAAAUCUGAUUUUUCAGUCUGGUAAUUGUUGCUGGAGAGCCUUUAAGCUGCUAAGAAUCUCAUGUCCGCAUUCUUUUCUAUAUAAUUCGAUCGGUUUUCCGUGCCA